GGAAGUUUGUAGUCCUCGGCGUCAGGAUGAACGCUGGCGGCGUGCUAACACAUGCAAGUCGAACGGAGCGACCCCGUCGAAGGAAGUUUUCGGACGAACGGAAGGGAAGUGCUAGUGGCGGACGGGUGAGUAACGCGUGAGUAACCUGCCUUGGAUGGGGAAGUAACAGAAUGGAAACAUCUGCUAAUACCGCAUGAAGCAGUUGGGCCGCAUGGCUCUGACUGCCAAAGAUUUAUCGCUCUGAGAUGGACUCGCGUCUGAUUAGCUAGUUGGCGGGGCAACGGCCCACCAAGGCGACGAUCAGUAGCCGGACUGAGAGGUUGGCCGACCACAUUGGGACUGAGACACGGCCCAGACUCCUACGGGAGGCAGCAGUGGGGAAUAUUGGGCAAUGGGCGCAAGCCUGACCCAGCAACGCCGCGUGAAGGAAGAAGGCUUUCGGGUUGUAAACUUCUUUUCUCAGGGACGAAGAAAGUGACGGUACCUGAGGAAUAAGCCACGGCUAACUACGUG
rnacentral:rRNA from 1 species